GUGGGGAAUAUUGGGCAAUGGGCGAAAGCCUGACCCAACAACGCCGCGUGAAGGAAGAAGGCCCUCGGGUUGUAAACUUCUUUUAAGAGGGACGAAAGAAAUGACGGUACCUCUUGAAUAAGCCGCGGCUAACUACGUGCCAGCAGCCGCGGUAAUACGUAGGUGGCGAGCGUUAUCCGGAUUUACUGGGUGUAAAGGGCGUGUAGGCGGGAGUGCAAGUCAGAUGUGAAAAUUAUGGGCUCAACCCAUAACCUGCAUUUGAAACUGUUCUUCUUGAGUGAUGGAGAGGCAGGCGGAAUUCCGUGUGUAGCGGUGAAAUGCGUAGAUAUACGGAGGAACACCAGUGGCGAAGGCGGCCUGCUGGACAUUAACUGACGCUGAGGCGCGAAAGCGUGGGGAGCAAACAGGAUUAGAAACCCCGGUAGUCC
rnacentral:rRNA from 1 species